CCCGCUCGGCCCCGCGGAAGCUCCGCCGCGCCAUGUCUUCGCCUCCCGAAGGGAAACUAGAGACUAAAGCUGGACACCCGCCCGCCGUGAAAGCUGGUGGAAUGCGAAUUGUGCAGAAACACCCACAUACAGGAGACACCAAAGAAGAGAAAGACAAGGAUGACCAGGAAUGGGAAAGCCCCAGGUGGGAUGAUGCUAGCGACUCUUGAGCAUGUUUUCCAAAAACCCUAUUCGGUUAAACAUUAACAUUUGUUCUCUGUUCUAUAAUUCUGAUAA
rnacentral:sRNA from 1 species